rnacentral:rRNA from 1 species
GACGAACGCUGGCGGCGUGCCUAAUACAUGCAAGUCGAACGGAAAGGCCCUGCCUUUGUGCGCUGCUCGAGUUGCGAACGGGUUAGUAACCCGUGAGUAACCUGCCCUUGACCUUGGGAUAACUUUAGGAAACCGGGGCUACUACCUGACAGUAGCUCCUGCUGCAUGGUGGGGGUUGGAAAGAUGCGGCGGUCGGGGUUGGACUCGCGGCUUGUCAGCUUGAUCGUGGGGCAGUGGCUUACCAAGGGUUUGACGGGUAGCCGGUCUGAGAGGGUGACCGGAGACAUUGGGACUGAGAUACGGCGCAGAGUCCUACGGGGGGCAGAAGUGGGGAGUAUUGCAGAAUAGGCGGAAGACUGAGACAGCAACGCCGCGUGCGGGAUGACAGCCUUCGGGUUGUAAACCGCUUUCGCCUGUGACGAGGCGUGAGUGACGGUAAUGGGUAAAGAAGCACCGGCUAACUACGUG